rnacentral:lncRNA from 1 species
GGCUAGGUAAUCCUUGAGUUGGUUAGAUACCUGACAAAUUGUGUGAGCAGCCCGUGUAGCUACACCUUGACCGAUAGCUUUUAUGAGCAAACCCAUGAGUAGCUCCAUUAUGAGCGUUACGUGUUAUGAGGUAGCUUUGGCUACAUAUGUAUAUGUGGCACUUAUGUGCAAGUUUUUUGUGUAUCCAAUAGUAUUCCCGAGGGUUCAACUGGUAAUGCAAUAUAUGUGAUGAAAAUCCCGAGGAGGGCAUGUUAAAGAGGUAUAGUUAUAUGAUAUAUUACGAU